AGGAAUGUAGUUAAUCAUAACAUCUGGUUUGCAUCUAGAAGGUACUUAGGUUAUUCUUU
rnacentral:tRNA from 1 species